GAUGAACGCUAGCUACAGGCUUAACACAUGCAAGUCGAGGGGUAACAGGGUAGCAAUACCGCUGACGACCGGCGCACGGGUGAGUAACGCGUAUGCAACCUGCCUAUAACUGGGGAAUAGCUCCCUGAAAGGGGAAUUAACACCGCAUAACACUAUUGAUUCGCAUGGAUUGGUAGUUAAAUGUAGCGAUACAGGUUAUAGAUGGGCAUGCGUGACAUUAGCUAGUUGGUGAGGUAACGGCUCACCAAGGCUACGAUGUCUAGGGGUUCUGAGAGGAAGGUCCCCCACACUGGUACUGAGACACGGACCAGACUCCUACGGGAGGCAGCAGUGAGGAAUAUUGGUCAAUGGGCGCAAGCCUGAACCAGCCAUGUCGCGUGCAGGAAGACUGCCCUAUGGGUUGUAAACUGCUUUUAUAGUAGAAGAAACACAUCUACGCGUAGAUGUCUGCCAGUAUACUAUGAAUAAGCAUCGG
rnacentral:rRNA from 1 species